UACAGAGGUGCCAAGCGUUGUUCGGAUUCAUUGGGCGUAAAGGGUGCGUAGGCGGCGCGGUAAGUCGGGUGGGAAAUCUCGGGGCUUAACUCCGAAACUGCAUUCGAUACUGCCGUGCUUGAGGACUGGAGAGGAGACUGGAAUUUACGGUGUAGCGGUGAAAUGCGUAGAUAUCGUAAGGAAGACCAGUGGCGAAGGCGGGUCUCUGGACAGUUCCUGACGCUGAGGCACGAAGGCCAGGGGAGCAAACGGG
rnacentral:rRNA from 1 species